AAGGCCCGGUUGAUGUGGCGCUCUCCUAGGUUACGUAUUUUGACUUUUUUUUCCUUAUUACUUUCAUACGUCAUCGGCGACCAAACGCGGCUUCGCAUCCAUUCUGCAGCUGUUAUUUGUGUUCAAAAUUAUAAUUAUCCAUUAAUUACUCUCUCAAACAUAACCACUAUCUCUUCUACUGGGUUGACUUGGAGCAAUUGGGACGAUUCUGCCUUUUUGGUCUUCCCUUUUUGGAGGCGAUUAUGCUCCAAUGGCUUUGGAGCAAUUGAAGGUGUUCAAAUUUCCUUUUUGGUUACUGCGUCUGAUUCUGCCUUCUAAGCUUUUUACAUCUAAAUUUUCCCAUAUAAUAUUGACAAUGACGAAAAUAGCAAUGGGAGAAAUCACUACUCCCUUAUUUCUCCUUGCAAUUCUUUUUAUGAUAUUCCUUAAUUAGACCCACAUUUGCCAUGAAAAAGGGAAUUAUGCCUAUUAUAACAGAGGUGUUAAUGAACCAGUUUCGCGUCACAUGGCCAUGGGGUUGUAUUUGGUGGAGAAGACAGUUCCGUAAAGUUCUUACAUCAUCCAAGUGAAAUUGCCGAAUUCUUCGACCUAUUGUCUUCAAUUUCUUCUUAAACCGGCGUUGGCUAUUCUCAAGUUAUUGAUUUCUUUUGGGCAUAAAUCUGUUAGAGGCCUAUAGGGCAUUGUUUUUCAUUUUGAGACUUGGAAGGGGCAGUAAAAGGGCAUCAAAAGGAGGAGAUUAUUGAGAACAGACUCUUGGAGGGGCUGAUAUUAACUACAUAUAUGCAAGUUCAGAAGUGCUUGAUGUAUCUAUUAGAAUGGUUUUAGGUGACUCUAUUAACUGUUGGCCAUUGCUUUGCUCAUCUAUUUAGUACUAGGAAUUGUUGUAUCUACCUUUUAACUUUUGGUCUCAAUUACUAUGACACCCCCCAACUCGACAUUAGUAGUAAGAGAUCCUACUAAAUGACUUUUUCACAUCAUUUUAGUAUAAGAACUCCAUAAGAGUUCCAAGUAAUGGAAAUUUUAGUAUUGUGUUAAUAAAAGUGCCGGACAAAGAGUAAUGAACUAGACAGAUGUGCUUCUUCAUUGAGCCAUCUGUAAGUUUGUUUCUUAUGUCAUAGGAAAAUAUUUUCUGCUUCAUCGCUACUUGUGAUUCCUAUACUGUGAGUAGUGAAUUUGGUCUCAUUUUCAUCUUAUGAUUGGGUUUUGUUGAAGUCUUCUGUGGAAGGCCUGUUAUCAAUCCCCGCUCUUCCAAGGAAUUGGUAAACUAGUCGAACGGGUGAUAAAAUGUUUAAUGACAGGAGAAUCAUAAGCAAUUGUUGAUCCUAGGAUUCCACGCAGAAAACACCAAAAUCCUUGAUGAAUAGUUUGUAAACACUACUGAGAAAUGCUUGACUGAAUAUGGUGCAGAUCGACCGACUAUGGGAGAAGUUUUGUAAAGCUUGGAAUAUGUAUUGAAGCUUCAAGGAGAAGACGGAAAAACAACACAAGAGAAUGACAUCCUGGAUAAUCAGUUGGAUAAUAGUGUGUUAAGUACAAAAUAUAGCAUGGAGAGUAUGGCUGAACUUGCUGGUGUUUCAGUGAGUAAAGUUUUUUCCCAAAUGGUGAAAUCUGAAAACAAAAGUUUUUUUCCCAAAUGGUGAAA